AACGAACGCUGGCGGCAGGCCUAACACAUGCAAGUCGAGCGGACCCUUCGGGGUUAGCGGCGGACGGGUGAGUAACGCGUGGGAAUAUGCCCUUCUCUACGGAAUAGUCCUGGGAAACUGGGGGUAAUACCGUAUACGCCCUUUGGGGGAAAGAUUUAUCGGGGAAGGAUCAGCCCGCGUUGGAUUAGGUAGUUGGUGGGGUAAUGGCCUACCAAGCCGACGAUCCAUAGCUGGUUUGAGAGGAUGAUCAGCCACACUGGGACUGAGACACGGCCCAGACUCCUACGGGAGGCAGCAGUGGGGAAUCUUAGACAAUGGGGGCAACCCUGAUCUAGCCAUGCCGCGUGAGUGAUGAAGGCCUUAGGGUUGUAAAGCUCUUUCAGCUGGGAAGAUAAUGACGGUACCAGCAGAAGAAGCCCCGGCUAACUCCGUG
rnacentral:rRNA from 1 species